CUGAUUGACGACGUCACCCUGCUUACUUCAGCCUGCGGCCCGCCAUCUCCUUGAGACCUAACACCAUGCCUUCAAUUAAGUUGCAGAGUUCUGAUGGAGAGAUAUUUGAAGUUGAUGUUGAAAUUGCAAAACAGUCUGUGACCAUCAAGACUAUGUUGGAAGAUUUGGGAAUGGAUGAUGAAGGAGAUGAUGAUCCAGUCCCCUUGCCAAAUGUUAAUGCAGCAAUGUUAAAAAAGGUCAUUCAGUGGUGCACCCACCACAAGGAUGAUCCUCCUCCUCCUGAGGAUGGUGAGAACAAAGAAAAACGAACAGAUGAUAUACCUGUAUGGGAUCAAGAAUUCCUGAAAGUUGACCAAGGGACACUCUUUGAGCUUAUAUUGGCAGCAAACUACUUAGACAUCAAAGGUUUGCUUGACGUUACCUGCAAGACUGUUGCUAAUAUGAUCAAGGGCAAAACUCCUGAGGAGAUUCGAAAGACAUUCAAUAUCAAAAAUGAUUUUACUGAAGAAGAGGAAGCCUAGGUACGCAAAGAGAACCAGUGGUGUGAGGAGAAGUGAAAUUUCAUGUCUAAUACUGUAACACUGUAAGGAUUAUUCCAAAUACUAGUUGCACUGCUUUGUUUAUAAUUGUUAAUAUUAGAAAAACAGUCAACAAAUGCAGCAGCAAGUCAAUUGUAUUAGCAGAAUGUUGUCCUCAUUGCAUGUGUAGUUUCAGUACAGUUCCCAAACUUAAGGCCCAGUUUCUUCAAGUACGAUUGAAAGUUUCUUUUCGUUGCUCUGAAUAAAAUUGAACUGUGGGUUCCCUAUAGAAAGUGGCAUUUUGGGCUUUCCCUUUUUGUAAAGCAAUUUCUGCCUAGUUUAUUGUCCAGGUAAUUUUAGUUCAGUGACUUUUAAAGUUGGUGUUGUAAAUAAAGCAACUUGCAAAAAACCUUCUGAAAUAGAAUUUAACAAUGUAUUAUCUUUAUUCAAUUGGAAACUGGAUAAAGGCUACUUGAGGUAAAUGCUUUGAGUGGGGUUAUCAGAGUGUCUUUAAUCUUCCUGGAGGAGUAAGUACCCCUGGUAUUCACUAGCCUGUAUGUAGCAGGGCUUCCUUAGUUGGAUCUGAGGGCUUAUUUUUGCAUUUUUAAUCCUCUCAGCUUUGAAGGCUCAGUUACUACUCAGUUUGUGGUUUGGGAGGAGAUAUAAUAAUUAGUUCGCUAGCUUUUCAGUUAAAAAAGAUAGCAUAUAUGGUGUGUCAUCUUUUUAUAAUCAGUGAUCCCAUGUGGGGAAAACUAUUCAUACUACUUGCAUGUAGAAAAUAAUUUAACCUUUAAUGGUAAAAUGUGUGGCAUAACCCAGAAAGCAUCCGUCAUGAAUGCAAGAUACUUUCAAUAAAGUUACCUAGUAGGUA